ACGCCGCCCGCCCCCAGCGCGUCCAGCCGCGGCGUCCGGAUGGCCGAGCCGUGCCAGCCCACGUCGCCCCAGCCCAGGUCGUCGGCCAGCACCAGCACCAGCUUCUAGGUAUUUCUCCAGACUUUCUGAUGGAAGCAGUGGAAUGUGUCACAGAGGCAUUCCAAAGAAAAUGAUAGAAGGAGAGACUGAAACUUCACUCAGUACACAAGAGAUGAAAAUCCACAGUGAAAGAAAGCAGAGAAGCAGCUUAUUACUACCUUGAGAACUAGGACCAUGUGCACCUAAUGAAGUUCAACAAAACAAAGUGCAAGAUGUGUACAGACUGAGAGAACUCACUGAGCGCAGUCCUGCUAAGAAAGACUUGAAGAUACUGACUGAUAAAAACCGUAUGAAAUAAUUCUGCUGCAAGAGUGCCAUUGCAGCCCGGAAGGCUGGGUUACAUCAAAACAGGGUCGCCAGCAGGGAGGGAGAGGGGAUUGUUCCUCUUUCCUCUGCCCUUGUGAGACCCCACCUUCAUUACUGCAUCCACGCCUGGGCCCCCAGCGUAAGAAUCAGAGUCACAGAAUUGUAGGGGUCGAAAGGGACCUCUAGAAAUCAUUGAGUGUAACACCAAAGAAAGAUAUGGCACUGUUGGAGGGGAUCCAGAUGAAGGCCACAAAGGUGAUUGAAGGGCUGGAGCACCUCUCCUAUGAAGGAAGGCAGCAGGAGCUGGGCUUGUUCAACCCAGAGAGGGUUUUGGGGAGACUUCACUACAGCUUUCCAGUAAUUAAAAGAAGCUUAUAAGCAGGAGAGAAACAGGUUUUUUACAUUGAGAUUUAGAUUAGAUAUUAGGAGGAAAUUCUCUACUCACAGGUUAGUGAGACACUGGCACAAGCUGCCCAGAGAAGCUGUGGGUGGAUCCAUAGAGACGUUUAAAGCCAAGGUUGGAUGUGGCCCUGGGCCCUGAUCUAAUGGCAAUCCCUGCCAUGGCAGGGGAUUGGAAAUGAAUCUUCCAACACAAGCCACUCUAUGAUUGUUACUAUUUUAGUAAUUUGGAUUCCCAAACAGACAAUAUAAUAUAUGUCAGAGAGUAUUCUCUUGAAUCAAAGAAAAAAUCCUGGAAAUGAUCUGUGUUCAGUCCCCUUAGUUUUAAUCAAUUCGUUUUUCCCCGCAAGCCUUGAUCUUUGGAGAUGGGUGAGCAUUCUUUUCUUGUUUGUCCCUUUGGCCACUUCACCCUUGUGUCACCUUUCUACAUGCUAAUCUUUCCAAAUGUAACAGAGCAGUAAUAAAGCAGCUAGGCAAACUAGAAAGCCCCGCCAGACAGCACUUAUAACACUUAGACAUGUUUACUUAAAACUGCUUGAGAUACCUCUACUGUGGAUUACACUGUAAAAUAGAAAGCAAGGUCAUUCUUUAGACAGAAAGGAGUGCAGCAGUCUCUCAGACACACUUUUUGUCUUAUUUGCGGCUAGUGAUGAUCAUGGUUUUACAAGAUGAUUUUAGUCUUACAAGUCAGCAGCAGUAAAGAGACUUAAUUUUGUUUUGCUUUGUCUAUAUGCAGCAUUCUGCAAUUUUUGUCUGCUUCCCUAUAUCUUGAAACUAAAUUAAAUUUAACUGGACAAGGCUCAAGCUUGGUGAGACCCAAGAACAAUAGCUGUUCCUGAGCAGCCCACAUCAGAAUUUGGGUUUCUUCUCUAGUCAAGAUUUGAAACUGAAAAUUAGUGUAAGUAAUUUACAUGACAGUUAAUCUAAAUUAAAGCACCUUCUUGAAUGCCUUACUGAAUAAAGAUAAAAUUUUUCAGCAGUCCAGUGUUAUGACUAUCUGUAAAAUGAGACGAUAUAAUGUAUAUGAGGAGAAGUUAGUUGCUGGGAGGUUACAGCUGGAAAUGUGCUAUAAGUCCAUGAGAAGUAGAGUUUCUGAGCUCAGUUUGGAAUUGAAGGAACUGUAUCUGUGACUGAUCAUCUUUUGCUCAGGUUACAGAAAGUCUGCACCUUCUGCCAUCAGACUGAUGUGGCUGACCUGUUAACGAAUAGCACAUUUUUUCUUCCAAACUGGAAAGAGUUACAAGCCUGAUUUUUAACUUCCAUGUAGAAAUGUGGAUGGAAUAAGUGAAGCAGCAUUCUGUAUAACAGAGCUACUUAGGAGAAUACAUGUGACAGCCUGCCUCAGAAUUACUGUUAUUGUACAAUCCCAGGCAUCAAGUCUGGUGAAUUUGCAUAUUCACUGUUUGCAUAUUAAAAUUCAAAACUAUGUUCCUAAGAAUUGUUCUCUCUUCCUUCACAUUUUAAAUAGAACACUAUGACACUGUGCUGCAUUUUAGCUUUCUUAAAUUUUCACAGAAACACUGUGGCUAAAUGCCUUUUUAAAAACAAUGUUGCCUUUACAAAAAGUAUCACCUUUGAUAGGUUCAACGAAGCAGAAUCACUUACAAAAGCAAAAUAGAAGAUUAUUUCAGAAUGGAUUUUUCACCCAAGGCAGUACUACAUGCAAACUUCCAAAUCUUUUCUCUUGAUCUUCUUUGAUAAAAAAAAAUUUGGAACAGCACAAUGUAAUGUCAGUGUGGAAUACAUCUUUUAAUAGGUGUAAAUGUUCACUGCUCAUACUGUGUUUCUCCUUGUAUAUUCUAUUUAUACAUUUCCUUCUUUGAGAAAGAUUUAGAUAAAGUAAUUGGGGAAAAAAA